GAGAGAGGCCCGCCGCAACGGAAACUGCUAAUUUUCGUCACCUUGGUUAAAACCCAAGGCUCACUCG
rnacentral:tRNA from 1 species